UUUUGGCUAGAGAGGCCCCGAAAUUAGCGCAGUGAAUGGGCAGGACUUCGUUCACGCAGCCGUUUUGGGGGCCCUUGUCAUGGUGAGUCAUCUUUUGUUUUUCCGUGAUAAGGGGAGUGGUGAGGCGGGCCCCUUCACACACAUUCUUCUUUACUUGUUUGUUUACUCAGGCUUUCAAGCACUUAUUAUUAUAGAUGAUAUUUAUCAUAAGAUAUUUCUCUCCCAACAACAAGAAUUUCAUUGACUUGGAAAAAGAAGAAUCAGAGUUAGCUUGGCUCAAUCAUGUAAUUUUUGCUAUUUCAAUAAAGCUUACCACUUCCCAAAAAAAGUAUGACCAAGUCCAAUGCAUUACCUUUGCUCCACCUAUGAGGGAGUAUUGUCCAAUGGAAUUAUACUCCU
rnacentral:misc_RNA from 1 species